UAAGGAAUAUUGGUCAAUGGACGCAAGUCUGUACCAGCCAUGCCGCGUGAAGGGUGAAGGUCCUCUGGAUUGUAAACUUCUUUUAUCUGGGACGAAAACGGGAUUUUUAUCUCAAUUGACGGUACCAGAGGAAUAAGCACCGGCUAACUCCGUGCCAGCAGCCGCGGUAAUACGGAGGGUGCGAGCGUUAUCCGGAUUUACUGGGUUUAAAGGGUGCGUAGGUGGGCUUAUAAGUCAGUGGUGAAAUCUCCGAGCUUAACUUGGAAACUGCCGUUGAUACUAUAGGUCUUGAAUUAUCUGGAGGUAAGCGGAAUAUGUCAUGUAGCGGUGAAAUGCUUAGAUAUGACAUAGAACACCAAUUGCGAAGGCAGCUUACUACAUAUAAAUUGACGCUGAGGCACGAAAGCGUGGGGAUCAAACA
rnacentral:rRNA from 1 species